UACGGAGGGUGCGAGCGUUGUUCGGAAUCACUGGGCGUAAAGGGCGCGUAGGUGGCGCGGCAAGUCUGUGGUGAAAGCCCGAGGCUCAACUUCGGGUCGGCCGAUGAUACUGCUGCGCUUGAGCACUGUAGAGGCAGGUGGAAUUCCGGGUGUAGCGGUGGAAUGCGUAGAGAUCCGGAGGAACACCGAUGGCGAAGGCAGGUCUCUGGGCUGACACUGACGCUCAUGCACGAAAGCGUGGGGAGCAAACAGG
rnacentral:rRNA from 1 species